rnacentral:rRNA from 1 species
AUGGAAGACAACAAUGAUGAGCAUAAUGUAUCUCUUCCUCAGGAUAUCCAGCACACCAUUCUUGCUUCACUACCUGCUAGGGUUGUUCUCAAGUUUCGAACAGUAUGUAGAUUCUGGCGAGACUGCAUUCAAGAGCCCAAUUUUGUCGAUCGUCACCUCAACAAUGCUCUCCGCUCCCACCGGUCCAUUGCUUGCUUCACCUCGGUUGAUGAGGGUCUUGUCUGCAUGUACACAUUUGAUCCCACCACACUGAACUGCAAAAGCAUGGAUCUCGUGUUGUCGAGUAGGUUUCAGAUGUCAGACCCAUGCCAUGGCUUGGUGUGCGCCUAUGAUUUAAAAGGUGCUGUUGAGGUGUUGAAUCCAACAACAAGGAUACAUUUGAGGCUGCCAGUUUCAGAGCUACAGUCACUUGCUUCAGAAUAUUUUCUUGGACCUGUGCCUUCAACAAAGGAGUACAAGGUGCUCUGUAUCCACCACCGGGUGCGGUUCUUGACAUUUGAAGUAUGCACUGUUGGCACACAGUCAUGGAGGGCAGUGCGCGAAUCUGCAGGCCUCCUGAAGACAACAAAGGCGGUCAUUGUUAAUGAUGUCAUGCAUUGGCUACUUCUUGAUGAGAUAUCCUCCAAUUUUACUCGGAACAUCUUGUCGUUCAACCUGACAGAUGAGAUGUUCUCAGAAACUGCUGUCCCAGAUGCUGUAAAAGACCGUGAAUUGCACCUGUUCGAGGGGGGAGGAAAGCUUCAUUUGCUGGCAAUGCCCGGUGAGGGAUCAGCACCUAAAACCUCAGAGAUUUGGGUGGCGAACUCGACCUGUGCAGUCUGGGACCACAUGUGCAACAUCGCUUUUGUGCUACCUUUGGGCAUGAGGCCACUUUUCCUGCACAACAAUAAGCUCUUCUAUUGCAACCAAAGAAGAUUCUACUAUGUUGAUCUUCAGGAUGGGAGUGGUUCCUAUCUCAACAUGCCUUUUGGCGAGUGCAUCAUAUCGGCUGGGAUUUUCGUGGAGAGCCUUGUUCUACAUUCUGUGACUGGCCUGGUGGACUCCAGAGCAAUGCUACAAAGUCCCCAUGAUGCUAGAUCAUUUCCAACAGGGCGUGGACCAUCUGCUCGUGGCGCUGGAUCGUCCUCAGCAAGCCCUCGACGAUCUUUCAAGAAGGCAAAGAGCAAUAUAAACAUGCAGUGGAGGUUGGCAUAG